rnacentral:tRNA from 1 species
GCCGCGGUAGCUCAGCGGUAGAGCACACCGCUGAAGACGGUGGGGUCGCUUGUUCAAAUCAGGCCCGCGGCA